CGCCGGCAAUGACACUGGUUAUCUUUUCCAUCGUGGAAUGCCCCCCAUUGAUUUUUUCCCCUUUUCGGGGGGAAAAAAUUGGAAACGAGAAAGGUAUCGGGUGUCAUAGCCGGCG
ensembl:miRNA mir-229 miscRNA